ensembl:lncRNA
CACCCCAAUGCGUGUGUUGUCAUACAUGCUCCUCCGCUUCACUCUGCUACUCAGCUUCCUCCUUGGAAACGUGCAUAGGCUGGUUGUAUUAGGGUUCUGGAUGUGGCAGGACCUACGACAGAUCACCUUCUUUAUCAUCAACACCCUGGUCUCCAGCCUCCACAUAAACCUAGAAGACAGAAACCUACAAGACAGAUAGACAGACAGACCUGGACUACAGAAAAGGACUCCAACCAGUACACGAUCAUGCUCCGCUUGGAUCUGGAGUGAAGGGAUAUAGAGAAGGUGGUGGAGAAUGAGGGGGAUGGAGGCAGAGAAGGAGUGGAGACUAUCACCACUGUACCUCUCUGCCCUGGGCUGAAG